rnacentral:rRNA from 1 species
GUGCACCAGGCGCGAAUACUUUACAAUGUGCGAAAGCACGAUAAGGGAACUCUGAGUGCCUCCUAAGGAGGCUGUUCAGGUGUCUAAAAGCACCUGAAGGAAGGGCUGGGUAAGACCGGUGCCAGCCGCCGCGGUAACACCGGCAGCCCAAGUGGUAGCCACGUUUAUUGGGUCUAAAGCGUCCGUAGCCGGCUGGGUAAGUUCCUUGGGAAAUUUGGCUGCUUAACAGUCAAGCUUUCAGGGAAUACUGCUCGGCUUGGGACCGGGAGAGGUCAGAGGUACUCCAGGGGUAGGGGUGAAAUCCAUUAAUCCUUGGGGGACCACCGGUAGCGAAGGCGUCUGACCAGACCGGGUCCGACGGUGAGGGACGAAGGCUAGGGGCGCGAACCGGAUUAGAUACCCCUGUAGU